AUUGAACGCUGGCAGCAGACUUAACACAUGCAAGUCGAACGAGUGGCGGACGGGUGAGUAAUGCUUGGGAAUCUAGCUUAUGGAGGGGGAUAACUACGGGAAACGGUAGCUAAUACCGCAUACCAUCAGAUGUGCCCAGAUGGGAUUAGCUAGUAGGUGGGGUAACGGCUCACCUAGGCGACGAUCCCUAGCUGGUCUGAGAGGAUGACCAGCCACACUGGAACUGAGACACGGUCCAGACUCCUACGGGAGGCAGCAGGGGAGAAUAUUGCACAAUGGGCGCAAGCCUGAUGCAGCCAUGCCGCGUGUAUGAAGAAGGCCUUCGGGUUGUAAAGUACUUUCAGCGAGGAGGCGUUACUCGCAGAAGAAGCACCGGCUAACUCCGUGCCAGCAGCCGCGGUAAUAC
rnacentral:rRNA from 1 species